rnacentral:rRNA from 1 species
AGCGAACGCUGGCGGCAGGCUUAACACAUGCAAGUCGAGCGGGCACCUUCGGGUGUCAGCGGCAGACGGGUGAGUAACACGUGGGAACGUACCCUUCGGUUCGGAAUAACGCUGGGAAACUAGCGCUAAUACCGGAUACGCCCUUAUGGGGAAAGGUUUACUGCCGAAGGAUCGGCCCGCGUCUGAUUAGCUAGUUGGUGGGGUAACGGCCUACCAAGGCGACGAUCAGUAGCUGGUCUGAGAGGAUGAUCAGCCACACUGGGACUGAGACACGGCCCAGACUCCUACGGGAAGCAGCAGUGGGGAAUAUUGGACAAUGGGCGCAAGCCUGAUCCAGCCAUGCCGCGUGAGUGAUGAAGGCCUUAGGGUUGUAAAGCUCUUUUGUCCGGGACGAUAAUGACGGUACCGGAAGAAUAAGCCCCGGCUAACUUCGUG